CUGAGAGGCCAGGGAAUUCAGGUGUGUAGACUGAGGAGAUGUUAUCUUUCUCCUUGACUUGGCUAGAGAGCCAGGGAGUCAUUUUUCCUUACCUCUCCUCAGCCCAUCUUUGGAGAGUUAAUCUCCUGAAGUAGUAGCUCAGGUUUCUUUUAGAUACUCUUGGAUUACCUUCUACUUGAUGGGUGUGGGGUGGCUGGAUCUAGCAGGCAGAAUCUGGCCACCCACUUGGCAUUACUCAUUCCAACCUGCAGGAUCCCUUGUUCACAUGAAAACCAAGUCCUCUCUGAAUCACCACCUGACAUAAACAGGCUCCAGCUAGAGCCUUGUAUGUUGAAAAAUAUCUUCAUAAAAAUAUUGCUAAAUUCAUUUUAGUGGAUUCCUGAAAUGCCCCAAAAGGACGGGCCCUUCUCUGGACUCCUAUCCUCUCUGUGUUGAAGUUGUCCACACACUCCCCAUCUACCACAGGAAACUCUCUGAGCAGCUGAGGGCAAGGCUGGCUUUCUUGACAGUUGUUUUGCCACUGCUCUGUUGCUGUAUGUCACAGAGGAGGCUCACAGUAAGCAUCUGAAGAGGGAAUGAAUGAAUGGAUGAGGAAGUGAGAUAAAGGACAAAACGUGUCCUUCUGUAUCUGAUGGGUUCCCAUUAGAUGAGGAGCCAAUCUAAUCUAUCUAUGUAGCUCCCAAUUGAAGACCAUGACCCAGGAAAUGGAUGUUGUGGGCAGAGUUGCUCUCAGUAUAAGGAAAACCUUUCUCAGUUUUAGAACUGCUGCCUUAGGGAGUAGGGGAGCUCAUUUUUUUUUGUGCUCAAACAAAAGCUGGACCUCUGUCUGGAGGAAUGAAUCAGAUUACUGGUGAAGAGCUGGAUGACUUUUGGAUCUCUUCCAAUUCUGAGGUGAUCCAGCUGUCAUUGGGGUAGCUGUUUUUCCAAACCAACCGUGAAAUAGAUGCAACUCUCCUCACACAUUUCCAUCACCAGGUAUUUGGGAAAUAAUUAAUUAUUUUUUGAGGCAGAAUCUCAUUGAUCUAUCAUCCAGGCUAGAGUGCAGUGGGACAAUUUAGCCUCACUGCAAACUCUGCCUCCCAAGUUCAAGCAAUUCUCCUGCCUCAGCCUCCCAAGUAGCUGGGAUUAUAGGUGUAUGCCACCAUGCCUGGCUAAUUUUUUGUAUUUUCAGUAGAGACAAAGUUUCACCAUGCUGGCCAGGCUGGUCUCAAACUCCUGACCUCAAGUAAUCUGCCUACCUUGGCUUCCCAAAGUGAUGGAAUUUCAGGCAUGAGCCACCGUGCCCGGAUGAAAAUUUAGAUUGGACUUAAGACCUUGUAGUGAAAACUGGGGAAGGCAGCAGCUGCUCUGUCCCCCAUGUCUCCCUGGGAUGUAUCUCCCAGUCUCCCUCAUUGGAUACCAGCCUCUGGCCUCUUCUUUGUUUCUCCAGCUCUGUGUCUCCCCAUGUUCUCAUGCCGGGAUCUCACCCCUUUGCUCAAGAUGUCUCUACUAUUCUUCCCUGAGUACAGCCAUUGGACUUCUGGGAUCCUCUCAUCUUGUACUCUCAUGCCCAUCAUCUCUGCUUCCACCCACACCAUUAGCCAAUGAGGAAGCCUAUGCCACCAGGAGCCAUCCCUGUGGAAAGUGGUUUAUGUGUUUAAGGACAUGGAGUUUCCUUUAGAAUCUUUGUUGACAAACAUUUUCAAAUUCAAAGGAGAUAGGCGAGAGAAAGCAAGAAAACAAGUGAGCACAUUUAUCUUUCUCAUUUAGAAGAGCCUAGAACCUCCUUUCCUUCCAGCCCCACAACCUCCACUCCACCCAGAAGAGGAAACAGGCACCAUUUGAUGUUGGUGAGGUCAUGGAGGGUGGCGAACGGUGAAGCUUAGUAUUCCCCAAGAAAUAGGGUCACCAUCCUCAGGAAAGCCUUCCCUAGCCCCUAAGAUUAAGGGAGCAGCCCCCUCCUUCCAUGGCUCCAUAUGCCUUGCCUUAUUAUACCACAGCUGUGGCUUUAUAUUUAUUUGUGAAUUUAUUUGAUUAUUUUCAGGAUUUUCCAUAAUGUUUUAAGCUCCAUCUCUGUGUCUCUCCCCAUGUUGUCAUACUGGGGGCUGUGUCUGUUUGGAGUCGUUACUGAAUCCACAUAGGGCCUAGCAGAAGUUCUGGGCUAGGAGUAAGUGCUCAAUUAAUAUUCGUUAAAUGAAUGACUGAAUAUGUGGAAAUAAAAAUAUAAUUUCUAAAAAUAUGGACAGGCAGUCUUUGGCAUGAAGUUAAUCCUCACGGUUGUGUUUGCUCAGGUACUUGAAGGGAAACCAGAUGAAGCCAGAUGAGAGCACCCACCACCCCAGCCUCACUGCCUUUCACUUCCAGGAACUAGAACUCACCCUCCCAUUUCUCAGUCAAGCCUGCAGAUGCUGAGACCAGAGCUCAACCCUCACCUUUAGGGGGCCUGCCAAACAGAAAGAGAAAGUCUUUG
rnacentral:lncRNA from 1 species